rnacentral:rRNA from 1 species
UUGGAGGGCAAGUCUGGUGCCAGCAGCCGCGGUAAUUCCAGCUCCAAUAGCGUAUAUUAAAGUUGUUGCAGUUAAAAAGCUCGUAGUUGGAUUUCGGGAUUAGUACGUCGGUCGUGCCUUAGGUACGUACUGGUGUUACUGGUUCCUACCUUCUGACGAACCAUCAUGUCAUUAAUUUGGUGUGGUGGGGAAUCAGGACUGUUACUUUGAAAAAAUUAGAGUGUUUAAAGCAGGCUCGCGCUUGAAUACAUUAGCAUGGAAUAAUGAAAUAGGACGUUGAUCCUAUUUUGUUGGUUUCUAGGAUUGACGUAAUGAUUAAUAGGGAUAGUUGGGGGCAUUAGUAUUCAAUUGUCAGAGGUGAAAUUCUUGGAUUUAUUGAAGACUAACUACUGCGAAAGCAUUUGCCAAGGAUGUUUUCAUUAAUCAAGAACGAAAGUUAGGGGAUCGAAGACGAUCAGAUACCGUCGUAGUCUUAACCAUAAACUAUGCCGACUAGGGAUCGGAUGAUGUUAUUUUUAAUGACUCAUUCGGCGCCUUACGGGAAAC